CACGUGGGUAACCUGCCCAUAAGACUGGGAUAACUCCGGGAAACCGGGGCUAAUACCGGAUAACAUUUUGAACCGCAUGGUUCGAAAUUGAAAGGCGGCUUCGGCUGUCACUUAUGGAUGGACCCGCGUCGCAUUAGCUAGUUGGUGAGGUAACGGCUCACCAAGGCAACGAUGCGUAGCCGACCUGAGAGGGUGAUCGGCCACACUGGGACUGAGACACGGCCCAGACUCCUACGGGAGGCAGCAGUAGGGAAUCUUCCGCAAUGGACGAAAGUCUGACGGAGCAACGCCGCGUGAGUGAUGAAGGCUUUCGGGUCGUAAAACUCUGUUGUUAGGGA
rnacentral:rRNA from 1 species